rnacentral:rRNA from 1 species
AUGCGCAGCUACUUGUUCCGUGAACUCUGCCAUCUCCGUCAGGUCAACCUUUUGACUCGGUCCUUACAGGUGGGACCAGGCGGCGGAGACGCCCUAGAGGAUCAGACCGUUGCACGCGUGGCUUGUGGCACCCAGCAAAGACUCGUUGAGCAGAGAGACGUUGCGGGUGUGCUAUAUAAGCGGGCGACAGAGAGCGGCGGUGACCACGGCGAGAGAGAGAGCGGCGGUGGGAAGAUAGUUGUGGAGGGCGCGGUGGCAUUGAGAUCCCCUUCGGCUCCGAGCUCCAUUUCUUCUUCGAGCUCCCGCGCCACCUCACGGAUGUAGAACCAGGCACGUGUGGAGAUACCUAUCUUCGUCUGUCCGCGGUGCUGGGCGGGCGUUGAUCGGAGGGUUUCUCACACAACGAAGAAGCAGAAUCGUCCGUUCAACGUGUGUAGCGAGAAUGGGCAUUCAUGUAGGAGAAAUGUUUCUUAUGCUUUGGCCAAGACUCUGAUGAAUGAACUGCAAGAAAAGCAUGAAGAAUGAUUGCACAUGCUGCCACGAACGGCAGUGGCCGCAGCCCGAGCUCCGGAAGAAGAGAUGGAGGGCGAAGCAUGCACUGACAGAGAGCUAGCUGUUGAGCUUAGGAUGUUGAAGAAGAAGGUUAGGAAGCUUGAAGAUCAAGCACAAAUACCAAUACCCAUUUGCAAUUACUUUUGGGCAUUUGUAGGUAUGGUAAUCGCACUGGGUGUAAUGUUGAAAUUGUAUGGAAUGGCAUGA